rnacentral:rRNA from 1 species
GAUGAACGCUGGCGGCGUGCCUAAUACAUGCAAGUCGAGCGAACGGACGAGAAGCUUGCUUCUCGGAUGUUAGCGGCGGAUGCGUGAGUAACACGUGGAUAACCUACCUAUAAGACUGGGAUAACUUCGGGAAACCGUAGCUAAUACCGGAUCAUAUUUUGAACCGCAUGGUUCAAAAGUGAAAGACGGUCUUGCUGUCACCUAUAGAUGGAUCCGCGCUGCAUUAGCUAGUUGGUAAGGUAACGGCUUACCAAGGCAACGAUGCAUAGCCGACCUGAGAGCGACGAUGGCCACACUGGAUCUGAGACACGGUCCAGACUCCGACAGGGGGCCGCAGUAGGGAAUCUUCCGCGAUGGGCGAAAGCGUGACAGUGCACCGCCGCGUAAGUGCUGAAGGUCUGCCGCUCGUAAAACUCUGUUAUUAUGGAAGAACAUAUGUGUAAGUAACUGUGCACAUCUUGACGGUACCUAAUCAGAAAGCCACGGCUAACUACGUG